rnacentral:ncRNA from 1 species
CUGCUACAACGGCUUCCUGACGUGGCAGAUUUUAUUAUUGGAGCA